rnacentral:rRNA from 1 species
AGUGAACGCUGGCGGUAGGCCUAACACAUGCAAGUCGAACGGCAGCACAAGAGAGCUUGCUCUCUGGGUGGCGAGUGGCGGACGGGUGAGGAAUACAUCGGAAUCUACUCUGUCGUGGGGGAUAACGUAGGGAAACUUACGCUAAUACCGCAUACGACCUACGGGUGAAAGCAGGGGACCUUCGGGCCUUGCGCGAUUAAACGAGCCGAUGUGGGAUUAGCUAGUUGGCGGGGUAAAGGCCCACCAAGGCGACGAUCCGUAGCUGGGCUGAGAGGAUGAUCAGCCACACUGGAACUGAGACACGGUCCAGACUCCUACGGGAGGCAGCAGUGGGGAAUAUUGGACAAUGGGCGCAAGCCUGAUCCAGCCAUACCGCGUGGGUGAAGAAGGCCUUCGGGUUGUAAAGCCCUUUUGUUGGGAAAGAAAUCCAGCUGGCUAAUACCCGGUUGGGAUGACGGUACCCAAAGAAUAAGCACCGGCUAACUUCGUGCCAGCAGCCGCAGUAA